UUCAAACACAGAAGUCGAACAACAGGACUAGUUCUUGAUGUGCCUUGCAUGCACACUGGUUCUUGGCCCUGGGUUCUUGCCCAGCAGAAAAUAAAACCAGGCGGAGCAUGCUGGGAAUCCCAGUAUUGGAGGGUGGAGACAAGAGGAUCAGGUGGUCAAGGUCAUCUUCCAACAUGGAGAGAUGGAGGUCAGUCUAGGAGGAAUGGCACUAUUUUAAAAGCAAACAACCCCUACCCCAAAUCUUAAUGCCCAAAUCUGAGAAAACAGUGGCAUGGCAGCCCAUAACAACCACAUAUUCCGUGUGAAUCAGAAGACCUUUCUGAUAGAGAGAAGAAAGUCGGGUGUCUAGAUGUGCAGUAAUUCUUUUCCCUGUGACUCACAUCUGGAACUGGCCUGAGCAUUGAGUUCAUCCCUGUGUGUGGCUCCAGGGAGCUGUUCAACAAGUCCUUCCUGCUGGCCCUGUGGGGCACAGGGGAGCUGUGUGAGUAGUGCUCCCUGGUGAUCCUGUGGGAGGCACAGGGGAGCUGUGUGAGUAGUGCUCCCUGGUGAUCCUGUGGGAGGCACAGGGGAGCUGUGUGAGUAGUGCUCCCUGGUGAUCCUGUGGGAGGCACUGGGGAGCUGUGUGAGUAGUGCUCCCUGGUGAUCCUGUGGGAGGCACAGGGGGGCUGUGUGAGUAGUGCUCCCUGGUGAUCCUGUGGGGGGCACAGGGGAGCUGUGUGAGUAGUGCUCCCUGGUGAUCCUGUGGGGGGAAGUCUGGAGGAAGGUUUGGAGAGCAUCAGAAAGGCAGGGAUGCUGCUGGCCCUGCAACCUGUCAGAAACUCUGGUGUUGUGCUGCCCCCUUGUGGCACUUCUGUACCAGUUCCCUGUUAGUGCACCUGGCUGGCUGAGGUCCCUGCUUCACCUGGUGCCAACCACUAGGGUGGUUGGGUGGGUUUGUGGGUGGGGUGGGGGAGGCUUGCUCGGCUAUACCCAUCUAACAUGAUUCUGUCCUUCCUUUCAUUCCUUUUCCCCAUUAUCAUAGUAAAGGAACAAAAUACCCUUCAUAGCUCUGCUGACCAGGAGAUGGCCUUGAAGAAAUUGCAUAGACACACACUGCUGUUCCAGGCUGUGUUGUUUAUAAGGCUAGACGACUGGGCAGUGAGUCAAGAGUGUGAAAUCGACACUCUGGGCGAGAUUCAGAAGCACAAGAGGACUGGGACAGUGAAUGUCUGUUUUUACAUUACCUGCUUCUUUUGUGAGACAGGAGAUCGUUCCCCAGGGUGCAAGAAAAAGAGUGAGCAGGCUUGCUGAAGCUUGUCACUUGGAGAUGGAGACAGCACAAGUGGAGGCACCUCUCAGAAGCUGAGGCAGAUGGCCCUGCACUCGGGAGCAAAGGUCACCUUGAUCAUUUCUACUGGCAUUAACCCCCCUGUAAAUCAUUGCAAUAUGUUUUCUAUGUUGGAAAUAAAAUGGCAUUGUUAAAUGAG